rnacentral:rRNA from 1 species
GCUGGCGGCAUGCCUCAUACAUGCAAGUCGAACGAAGCCUUCGGGCUUAGUGGCGCACGGGUGAGUAACAUGUGGGAAUCUACCUAAAGGUUCGGAAUAACUGCGGGAAACUGUAGCUAAUACCGGAUGUGUCUGCAAAGAGAAAGAUUUAUCGCCUUUAGAUGAGCCCGCACUAGAUUAGCUAGUUGGUGAGGUAACUGCUCCACCAAGGCUUCGAUCUAUAGCUGAUUUGAGAGGAUGAUCAGCCACACUGGGACUGAGACACGGCCCAGACUCCUACGGGAGGCAGCAGUAGGGAAUAUUGGACAAUGGGGGAAACCCUGAUCCAGCAAUGCCGCGUGAGUGAAGAAGGCCUUCGGGUUGUAAAACUCUUUCAUCAAUGAUGAUAAUGACAUUAGUUGAAGAAGAAGCUCCGGCUAACUUCGUGCCAGCAGCCGCGGUAAUACGAAGGGGGCUAGCGUUGUUCGGAAUCACUGGGCGUAAAGCGUAUGUAGGCGGAUCAAAAAGUUAGAUGUGAAAUCCCUGGGCUCAACCCAGGAACUGCAUUUAAAACUAGUGAUCUAGAAAUUGGUAAAGGUUAGUAGAAUUUCCAGUGUAGAGGUGAAAUUCGUAGAUAUUGGAAAGAAUACCAGAAGCGAAGGCGACUAACUAGGCCAUUUUUGACGCUGAGAUACGAAAGCGUGGGUAGCAAACAGGAUUAGAUACCCUGGUAGUCCACGCAGUAAACGAUGAGUGCUAGUCGCUGGUACAAUAGUAUCAGUGUCGAAGCUAACGCAUUAAGCACUCCGCCUGGGAAGUAC